UUUCCCCCAAAAUCCAUUCUCUGCAAAUCUGAAUUCCAGAUUUGAAUUUCAAAAAUCCAAAUCUUAGAUCUAAUAUUUCAAAAACAAAAAACAAAAAAAUAUUCAAAAAUCCAAAAACAAAUUGUUGUUUCAUUGCAAAUUGUAGCUUAAUUUUGAUAUUCUUGUUACGAAUUCACAUCUCCUAGUUCUCUCUUUAGUUGCUGAAAUUUAGAGGUAUUUUUAGUUGAUUUCAAAUAGUUUUGGGUUUGGUCGAGACAUUUUGGGAUCAAUUUGGGUGCUGUUUUGCUGUUAGGUAUUGUUGUUUUCAUUUUGGAAGUCAUUGGUGCUUAGUUGAAUUUGAUGUGGCUGGAUCUGUUAAAACUUUGAUUUUAAAAGUAUUUCUAUUCUCCUAACUCAUUUCUGGACUGAAGCAUUGGUGUAAUUGUGGCUGUUUGAACUCAAAUUGUCAUUGUCUGCUCUUGCCUCAGCUGGCU
rnacentral:lncRNA from 1 species